rnacentral:rRNA from 1 species
CGGUUGUCACGCCAGUGGCAUUGCCGGGUAGCUAUGUUCGGAAGGGAUAACCGCUGAAAGCAUCUAAGCGGGAAGCCCCCCUCGAGAUUAGGUCUCCCUGAAGUCUUGAACUUCCUAAAGGGCCCUUGAAGACUACAAGGUUGAUAGGCUGGGUGUGGAAGCGUUGUAAGGCGUUGAGCUAACCAGUACUAAUUGCCCGUGAGGCUUGACCAU